AAUAGAUACCCAGGUAGUCCACGCCGUAAACGAUGAGUGCUAAGUGUUAGGGGGUUUCCGCCCCUUAGUGCUGCAGCUAACGCAUUAAGCACUCCGCCUGGGGAGUACGGUCGCAAGACUGAAACUCAAAGGAAUUGACGGGGGCCCGCACAAGCGGUGGAGCAUGUGGUUUAAUUCGAAGCAACGCGAAGAACCUUACCAGGUCUUGACAUCCCAUUGACCACUAUGGAGACAUAGUUUUCCCUUCGGGGACAACGGUGACAGGUGGUGCAUGGUUGUCGUCAGCUCGUGUCGUGAGAUGUUGGGUUAAGUCCCGCAACGAGCGCAACCCUUGUCUUAGUUGCCAUCAUUUAGUUGGGCACUCUAAGGAGACUGCCGGUGACAAACCGGAGGAAGGUGGGGAUGACGGUCAAAUCAUCAUGCCCCUUAUGACCUGGGCUACACACGUGCUACAAUGGACGGUACAAACGGUUGCCAACCCGCGAGGGGAGCUAAUCCGAUAAAACCGUUCUCAGUUCGGAUUGUAGGCUGCAACUCGCCUACAUGAACG
rnacentral:rRNA from 1 species